rnacentral:rRNA from 1 species
UACGUAGGGUGCAAGCGUUGUCCGGAAUUAUUGGGCGUAAAGAGCUCGUAGGUGGUCUGUUGCGUCGGCUGUGAAAACCCGAGGCUCAACCUCGGGCCUGCAGCCGAUACGGGCAGACUAGAGUUCGGCAGGGGAGACUGGAAUUCCUGGUGUAGCGGUGAAAUGCGUAGAUAUCUGGAGGAACACCGGUGGCGAAGGCGGCAUUCUGGACCGAUAUUGACGCUGAGGAGCGAAAGCCAGGGGAGCAAACGGG